GGUUAGUAAAUAAAAUGUUUAAAGGCUUGAUCAGCAAAACGAUGGAAGUUUAUGUGGAUGACAUGAUUAUUAAGAGUAAAAGGAUGGAAGACCAUGCAAAAGACAUUGAAGAGGAUUUCAACAUUUUUGACAAAGUUGGUGUGAAGUUAAAUUUAGAGAAGUGCACUUUUGGGGUCAAGGCCAGUAAGUUUUCAAGAUACAUGGUAUCAAAAAGAGGGAUAGAGGCAAAAUGAGAAAAGAUCUAAACUAUCAUGAACAUGCAACUACCUAGAAGCAUUAAAGAAGUUUAGAGGUUGAAUGAUUGGAAAACAGCUUUAGGAUGAUUCAUGUCCUGUUCGGCUCGAAAAUGUCUACCUUUCUACCAAGCUCUAAAAGUAAGAAAGCAUUUUCAAUAGGGAGAAGACUAUCAGGUAGCUUUUAAUUAAUUAAAAAUUUU
rnacentral:misc_RNA from 1 species